CAAAUCAGGAUAAUUCAAAGAGGUAUACUUUUCAAGACACUGAUUUCCAAAGUGUCAGGGAAAGAUAAAGGAUAAUUCAGGUGCCUAGUGUUAGUAGUGAAACUUUCAACACCAGUAGGCUUGAAAGAUAGAAGGGAGGAAGAAAUUGCUAGAAUCUGCAAGGAGAAAGUCAGGUGGAUUGGGUUGGCUUCAGAGAUUCAAGUGACCUGCUGUGGAAAGUCCUAGCUAGACAAAGGCAACGACAGGGAGUGGGAGCAAGGGAAUCUAUAUCCUAACCUCAUUCUUCUCCCUUCUGAUAUCUUUUUGUGCUCCAAAACCAGAAGCCAGAAGAUUUGGUACCUAUUAAUAUAAUCCACAGAGCUUAACCUCCACCAGCAAGGCAAAAGAAGCAAAUGACUAUUAUAGAUGUUACGGGUGGAGGACUUGAACAUUCUGUCAAUGGAAAGAAACGUCUUUGAAUACUUAACAUUGGGUUUGAAAGUGUGAUUCAUCUGAAUGAAUCCCUUCAGUUAUACAGUUAGGAUGAAGCUGAGAUCAGAUCACAGUGCUGUCAUGACAUUGCUGACAUCUGCAGGUUGGGGCUUGUCCUCCCCAUAGGCCUGUCUCUGCAUCCACCCUGGAAAGAAGAAUGUAACACUUUAGGUUGAUCCUGACCUGGACCUGCAGGUACAGAGAUGCUACCUUUGAUUGUUGACUCUGUGCUCUCCUUCUGGGGCAAAGACUUCUAUCUUUUAAUGUUAAAAGGGCAAUGUUAUGUAUAGUUCAUACAUUUUAAAGAAUUUAUAAAAAAACCCUUUUCUGAAAUAACCAGUGAGAUAAAGGAACAACAGGUAGUUUUUUAAAUUAAACUCCUGUGAGUGGGUGUUGAUUUAUGCUUGGCCGUGUUUUAUUCCACAUGUUGUCUGUUC
rnacentral:lncRNA from 1 species